GUGACCACAUCCCCGGCGCAGAAAACAAAGUGUUUGUUCAACAGUUUUCUCUGCUUUCGUCUUUGAGGUACGAAGGCAUUUACGAUUGAGUAAUAUGAAUUGCUCCCACUCCAGCUUUUCUGAAACGUUCGAAUGGACCCUAAUUUACAGACAACAGCAAGAUAAAAGUCAUGGUCUAAUGAUACGGCUGUGCCCUUUAUCCAGCUGGAUGGGGUAAGUCAUCCAGGUCACAUGCUUAUUCGAAAAAGCAAGAUUUUAGAACUUGAUGUUCUUUAGAUUAAUCAAGGACCCCUGUUUGGUGUUUGGCGGUCACACCGAUCCCCCUGCAGUUUUCAGACUCCAGUGCCCAUGUCUCUCCCCUUCUUCGAGCAUUUAUUUAUUCGGUGGUCAUUUUGCAGCACCUCUUCCAGGCUGACCUGUAUUAAGUGUUGGCAAAAACAACAACCUGUUGCCUUGUGUCAUUUACGAGUCCAUUUCACCAGCGCAGACUCAUUUGGCCAUGCAGUGCACGCAGUUUAAGCUUGCCGACUCAUCCCCAUGGUUUCUGCCCUCUCAAGGCGGGCUUGGUGAAUGGAUUCAUAGUUGCACCAGAGAAAGAAUGAGAGAACUUACAAAGCCUCGUAUCUGGGCUGUUUUGUGUUUUUAUCAAGAUUAUCAAGCAUCUUAUCUGUCCGAGAAGCCAACAAGCCCCUGAGGAAACCACAGGUCGGCUGAGCUGAUGCGCGCUUAGGGGUGACUGGUAGGCAGAAUCAGGAAAUGAACCGCAUCCAGACGCAGCUAAAAAUACUUCAGCGCUUUCCACCGGCCCCACAGACAGAAAUGCCAUCUGUGGUGAGUCCCGGCACCGAAGCCAGAGUUUCAGUCUUACCGAGCAUGCUCUGUGCUGAUGAACCAUAUUCCCACCCAACCCACAAUUUUUUUUCAAACUUUUCUCUUAAAAAAUUAUAAAUACCUUCUAGAUCAUCCCAAUCUUAAAACCUUUCCAAAAAUCACUUAGAAAGACCUCUAUAAACAAAUAAGACGCUCCUAAAACAAAAAGCUCUACUUUUCUGCCUGUGCUCGCUCAUGAUUCUCACUUCUUUUUAAAAGAUUGUUCAGGUUUUGCCUCAACUGUGACAUUUAAACCUUCACAGAAACGUGUGUGUGUGUGUGUGUGUGUGUGUGUGUGUGUGUGUGUGUGUGCACGCACGCACGCGGACACACACACACAAGAUGCUAAAACUUGAACACAGAACCUUGCUGUAUCACUGAGCUAUCUUCCCAGCCAUGAAAGAUUCUAAGCUCGCAGGCUUCUGGAACCUUGGAACACUGGGGAGACUUAAUUAUAACAGAAUUUUUCCAUAUACCAGACUAAUGCAGGAAUAGAGUAUGGGUAAAUGAGAACACCAAAGCUCCUGGAGGUGAGUUUCCUUGAAGCUCUUUUUUUUUCUUUUUUUUUUUAUUACAUAUUUAAUUACAUUUCCAAUGCUAUCCCAGAAGUCCCCCAUACCGCCCCCCCACUUCCCUACCCACCCAUUCCCAUUUUUUUGGCCCUGGCGUUCCCCUGUACUGGGGUUGCUUUGGUCCUGGCAUUUUAUUGCAGUCACCGAAAAGUAACUGAUAAUCAGUAGCCCAGAGAUUGAGAAGGGAGACUUGUAGGUGAAGACGAGGAAUCGUGAGAGAUAAAGGAAUGGGUGUGGGUUGAAAACCCAGGGCCCCAAAACUCCACGUGAAGUGACACCCACAUAUCCAUAUGUCAUCUUGUAUCUAUGCAAGUGUUAAGUCAGAGAAGAAACAAGGAGACAGCGGCUACCCCUGAAAGAGCUGCUCUCAGCCUGCUGUCCUCUCUCUCUGGCCAGAGUGUUACCUGUCACUGCUGUUUGCUGCAGGUGACUGUGGUGGAAGUGACCCUGGGAGGCCACCGUGUGUUUGGUGUUUUUACAGCACUGCCUCUUGGGCCCUUGCAGCCCACUCCUGCAUCCGGCUGCACUGAAGGCAACAAACAUCUCAGCAGGGCCAGCGGAAUGCAGCGUGGCCCAGAACUAGUGGGCCUUCCGCAGUCUUCGCACACAGUACCGAUAUUAAUAGAACGCUGGGGAUGAGGAAGGCCAGAAGACCUGCCUUCAUUCUCCUAGGAUCCCCGAGUAGAAGAUGAUGGUCCUGUCAAACAGGGCAGGUGCCUUGAGAGAAGGAACAGAAUGGGGACUGAAGAGAGAGGAAGAACAAAAUUACGGGGCUUCCCACACCUGCU
rnacentral:lncRNA from 1 species